rnacentral:rRNA from 1 species
CCUACGGGGCGCAGCAGUAGGGAAUCUUCCACAAUGGGCGAAAGCCUGAUGGAGCAACGCCGCGUGGGUGAAGAAGGUCUUCGGAUCGUAAAACCCUGUUGUUAGAGAAGAAAGUGCGUGAGAGUAACUGUUCACGUUUCGACGGUAUCUAACCAGAAAGCCACGGCUAACUACGUGCCAGCAGCCGCGGUAAUCCGUAGGUGGCAAGCGUUAUCCGGAUUUAUUGGGCGUAAAGGGAACGCAGGCGGUCUUUUAAGUCUGAUGUGAAAGCCUUCGGCUUAACCGGAGUAGUGCAUUGGAAACUGGGAGACGUGAGUGCAGAAGAGGAGAGUGGAACUCCAUGUGGAGCGGUGAAAUGCGUAGAUAUAUGGAAGAACACCAGUGGCGAAAGCGGCUCUCUGGUCUGUAACUGACGCUGAGGUUCGAAAGCGUGGGUAGCAAACAGGAUUAGAUACCCUAGUAGUC